UGUCAUCCAACAGCUCAGUUGGUAGAGCAUAAAACUCUUAAUCUCAGGGUCGUGGGUUUGAGCCCCAAGUUGGGCAA